CUUUGAAAGAAAGUAGGGCAGUGGAGGUAGGGGGAAUCCUCUGAGAACAGCCUGCUCCUAAUUGAAGAAAGUGAAAAUCCUCCAAACAUUGCAGGCACAGUUGAUGGAUCAUCCCUCAGUUUUCUUCCAUCUGGUCUGUGGCCUCUUACAGAAACCAAGACAAGACAAAUGAAGUGUACCUGACACAGGAAAUGAGGGUAGUCAUUUGGGUGAUAGAGCACCAGCUCCCCAUAAAAUGCUUGGAGUGAGGUGGGCAGUGAAACAUAAGGCGCCAGUCACAGUGCUCGUAUCUGACUUCAUGCUGGAUUUAUGAUCUUUGAUGUCUCUCCUUUCCUAGUCUUGAUGUUAUUUCUUUGGAGACCAAGUCACAUGGGAACCUCUUUGCCUACCUUCCCUUUCAGGAUCCAAAUAUCCCACUCCAAAUAUUCAGAAGCAAAAUGUGAAGAAGCUGAAAAUGAUGACAAUCUAUGCCUGAUGUGAGACCCAAAAAGAAAUCUGACCUGGGGAGGUGUCUGAUCCAGGUAUUUUUUUCUCUUCUGAAGCCCAAGUGCAACCCUUCAUCCUCAAGUCUUGG
rnacentral:lncRNA from 1 species